GAUCAAAUCAAGCGCGAUAAGGGCGUUUGGUGGAUGCCUUGGCAGCAAGAGGCGAUGAAGGACGUGAUACUCUGCGAUAAGCCAUGGGGAGCUGAGAAUAAGCUUUGAUCCAUGGAUUUCCGAAUGGGGAAACCCACCUGAAAUUCUUUGGUUGUUGCUGCGCAACAACCGCCCACUCCGUGCCGACCCCUGGUCGGUUGGGAAGUGGCGGCGGCGCAGCGGUCAUCCGAAGGGUUAACCAGGUACUUAUCACCUGAAUACAUAGGGUUUUAAGAGCGAACCCGGGGAACUGAAACAUCUAAGUACCCGGAGGAAAGGAAAUCAACAGAUACUCCCCCAGUAGCGGCGAGCGAACGGGGACCAGCCGAGCCGAAAGGAUGACCGGAAUGGCCUGGAAAGGCCAGCCAUAGCGGGUGACAGCCCCGUACGGGAAGUCCGAUCGGACGCAUUAAGUAGGGCGGGACACGUGAAAUCCUGUCUGAAGAUCGGGGGACCACCCUCGAAGGCUAAGUACUCCUUGCUGACCGAUAGCGAACCAGUACCGUGAGGGAAAGGUGAAAAGCACCCCGACGAGGGGAGUGAAACAGUUUCUGAAACCGGACGCCUACAAGCAGUCGGAGGGGCCUUGCGCCCUGACGGCGUACCUUUUGUAUAAUGGGUCAACGACUUGGUCUGUCUGGCAAGCUUAAGCCGUUAGGUGUAGGCGCAGCGAAAGCGAGUCUUAAAAGGGCGCUUGAGUCAGACGGAUCAGACCCGAAACCAGAUGAUCUAGGCAUGAGCAGGCUGAAGGUUGGGUAACACCAACUGGAGGGCCGAACCCACACCUGUUGAAAAAGGUCGGGAUGACUUGUGCCUAGGGGUGAAAGGCCAAUCAAAUCUGGAGAUAGCUGGUUCUCCGCGAAAGCUAUUUAGGUAGCGCGUCAGACGAAUUCUCCCGGGGGUAGAGCACUGCAUGGAUGAUGGGGGCCCACAGCCUUACUGAGUCUAAGCAAACUCCGAAUACCGGGAAGAACUAUCUGGCAGACACACGGCGGGUGCUAACGUCCGUCGUGGAGAGGGAAACAACCCUGACCAACAGCUAAGGCCCCCAAUUCGUGGCUAAGUGGGAAAGCAUGUGAGACUUCCAAAACAACCAGGAGGUUGGCUUAGAAGCAGCCAUCCUUUAAAGAUAGCGUAACAGCUCACUGGUCUAGUCAAGAGGUCUUGCGGCGAAGAUGUAACGGGGCUCAAGCCACGAGCCGAAGCUUUGGGUGUGCAUUUAUGCACGCGGUAGCGGAGCGUUCUGUGAUAUAGAACGCUGCCUCUUUUGCCCGCCAGGGCAACGGAGGCAUUGUUCUGACUGUGAAGCCGGGCUGUAAGGCAUCCGGUGGAGUGAUCAGAAGCGAGAAUGUUGACAUGAGUAGCGACAAACAGGGUGAGAGACCCUGUCGCCGAAAGUCCAAGGGUUCCUGCUUAAAGCUAAUCUGAGCAGGGUAAGCCGGCCCCUAAGGCGAGGCCGAAAGGCGUAGUCGAUGGGAACCAGGUUAAUAUUCCUGGGCCAGGAGAUGGUGACGGAUCGCAGAGCUCGUUCUUCCUUAUCGGAUUGGAAGGGCUGGUGAGCGGUUCCUGGAAAUAGCCCUCCACAAGACCGUACCCUAAACCGACACAGGUGGACUGGUAGAGAAUACCAAGGCGCUUGAGAGAACCACAUUUAAGGAACUCGGCAAAAUACCUCCGUAAGUUCGCGAGAAGGAGGCCCCGUUGGCAGGCAACUGUCGGCGGGGGGCACAAACCAGGGGGUGGCGACUGUUUACUAAAAACACAGGGCUCUGCGAAGCCGCAAGGCGACGUAUAGGGUCUGACGCCUGCCCGGUGCCGGAAGGUUAAAAGGAGAGGUGCAAGCCUUGAAUUGAAGCCCCGGUAAACGGCGGCCGUAACUAUAACGGUCCUAAGGUAGCGAAAUUCCUUGUCGGGUAAGUUCCGACCUGCACGAAUGGCGUAACGACUUCCCCGCUGUCUCAAAUGUGGACUCAGCGAAAUUGAAUUGUCUGUGAAGAUGCAGACUUCCCGCGGUUAGACGGAAAGACCCCAUGCACCUUUACUAUAGCUUCGCACUGGCAUCAGGAUUGCGAUGUGCAGGAUAGGUGGUAGGCGCUGAAACCGGGACGCCAGUUCCGGUGGAGCCAUCCUUGAGAUACCACCCUUCGCACUCUUGAUGUCUAACCGCGGCCCGUUAUCCGGGUCCGGGACCCUGCGUGGUGGGUAGUUUGACUGGGGCGGUCGCCUCCCAAAGAGUAACGGAGGCGCGCGAAGGUUGGCUCAGAGCGGUCGGAAAUCGCUCGUCGAGUGCAAUGGCAGAAGCCAGCCUGACUGCAAGACUGACAAGUCGAGCAGAGACGAAAGUCGGCCAUAGUGAUCCGGUGGUCCCGAGUGGAAGGGCCAUCGCUCAACGGAUAAAAGGUACGCUGGGGAUAACAGGCUGAUGAUGCCCAAGAGUCCAUAUCGACGGCAUCGUUUGGCACCUCGAUGUCGGCUCAUCUCAUCCUGGGGCUGGAGCAGGUCCCAAGGGUACGGCUGUUCGCCGUUUAAAGAGGUACGUGAGCUGGGUUUAGAACGUCGUGAGACAGUUCGGUCCCUAUCUGCCGUGGGUGUAGGAUACUUGAGAGGAGUUGCCCCUAGUACGAGAGGACCGGGGUGAACGUUCCACUGGUGGACCAGUUAUCGUGCCAACGGUAGUGCUGGGUAGCUAUGAACGGACAGGAUAAACGCUGAAGGCAUCUAAGCGUGAAGCCCCCCUCAAAACAAGGUAUCCCUUGAGAGCCGUGGAAGACCACCACGUCGAUAGGCCGGAGAUGUAAGCGCAGCAAUGCGUUCAGUUGACCGGUACUAAUGGCUCGAUUGGCUUGAUUUGAUCCGG
rnacentral:rRNA from 1 species